ACCUGGGUAGCUUAGUCGGUUAAGCGUCUGACUUCGGAUCAGGUCAUGAUCUCAAGGUUCGUGAGUUCGAGCCCCACAUUGGGCU
rnacentral:tRNA from 1 species